UACGAAGGGGGCUAGCGUUGUUCGGAAUUACUGGGCGUAAAGCGCGCGCAGGCGGCUAUCCAAGUCAGUGGUGAAAGCCCGGAGCUCAACUCCGGAACUGCCAUUGAAACUGUUUAGCUGGAGUAUGAGAGAGGUGAGUGGAAUUCCCAGUGUAGAGGUGAAAUUCGUAGAUAUUGGGAAGAACACCGGUGGCGAAGGCGGGUCUCUGGGCCAUUACUGACGCUGAGGAGCGAAAGCGUGGGGAGCGAACAGG
rnacentral:rRNA from 1 species